rnacentral:tRNA from 1 species
GGUUUAGUUAAUGUAAAUUGCAAAUUUACUUGGGCGUUAAGGCGUAAACCU